ACGCUAGCUACAGGCUUAACACAUGCAAGUCGAGGGGCAUCAGGAAGAAAGCUUGCUUUCUUUGCUGGCGACCGGCGCACGGGUGAGUAACACGUAUCCAACCUGCCCUUUACUCGGGGAUAGCCUUUCGAAAGAAAGAUUAAUACCCGAUAGCAUAAUGAUUCCGCAUGGUUUCAUUAUUAAAGGAUUCCGGUAAAGGAUGGGGAUGCGUUCCAUUAGGUUGUUGGUGAGGUAACGGCCCACCAAGCCUUCGAUGGAUAGGGGUUCUGAGAGGAAGGUCCCCCACAUUGGAACUGAGACACGGUCCAAACUCCUACGGGAGGCAGCAGUGAGGAAUAUUGGUCAAUGGGCGCUAGCCUGAACCAGCCAAGUAGCGUGAAGGAUGAAGGCUCUAUGGGUCGUAAACUUCUUUUAUAUAAGAAUAAAGUGCAGUAUGUAUACUGUUUUGUAUGUAUUAUAUGAAUAAGGAUCGGCUAACUCCGUGCCAGCAGCCGCGGUAAUACGGAGGAUCCGAGCGUUAUCCGGAUUUAUUGGGUUUAAAGGGAGCGUAGGUGGACUGGUAAGUCAGUUGUGAAAGUUUGCGGCUCAACCGUAAAAUUGCAGUUGAUACUGUCAGUCUUGAGUACAGUAGAGGUGGGCGGAAUUCGUGGUGUAGCGGUGAAAUGCUUAGAUAUCACGAAGAACUCCGAUUGCGAAGGCAGCUCACUGGACUGCAACUGACACUGAUGCUCGAAAGUGUGGGUAUCAAACAGGAUUAGAUACCCUGGUAGUCCACACAGUAAACGAUGAAUACUCGCUGUUUGCGAUAUACAGUAAGCGGCCAAGCGAAAGCAUUAAGUAUUCCACCUGGGGAGUACGCCGGCAACGGUGAAACUCAAAGGAAUUGACGGGGGCCCGCACAAGCGGAGGAACAUGUGGUUUAAUUCGAUGAUACGCGAGGAACCUUACCCGGGCUUAAAUUGCAGUGGAAUGAUGUGGAAACAUGUCAGUGAGCAAUCACCGCUGUGAAGGUGCUGCAUGGUUGUCGUCAGCUCGUGCCGUGAGGUGUCGGCUUAAGUGCCAUAACGAGCGCAACCCUUAUCUUUAGUUACUAACAGGUUAUGCUGAGGACUCUAGAGAGACUGCCGUCGUAAGAUGUGAGGAAGGUGGGGAUGACGUCAAAUCAGCACGGCCCUUACGUCCGGGGCUACACACGUGUUACAAUGGGGGGUACAGAAGGCAGCUAGCGGGUGACCGUAUGCUAAUCCCAAAAUCCUCUCUCAGUUCGGAUCGAAGUCUGCAACCCGACUUCGUGAAGCUGGAUUCGCUAGUAAUCGCGCAUCAGCCACGGCGCGGUGAAUACGUUCCCGGGCCUUGUACACACCGCCCGUCAAGCCAUGGGAGCCGGGGGUACCUGAAGUACGUAACCGCAAGGAUCGUCCUAGGGUAAAACUGGUGAAU
rnacentral:rRNA from 1 species